rnacentral:lncRNA from 1 species
AUACAAAGAUGAAAAAAAAAUGUAGUUCCUGUUUUUAAGAAGGUUCGGUCUAGAGAAGACUCCACACAGAUAAUGGUAAUACACUGUAAUAGCUGCUAUUAAUAUAGGUGGGGCAGUUGAAUGGUUGGCUCCAAUUCUUCACUUCCCUGUAGCAUUAGUAUUAUAUAUUCACCCUUUCUGUGAUGUCACAGGUGGAAUGGACUUCCCGGAUCCUUGGUUCUGGGCUUGGCCCCGUGCCUUGUUUUGGCCGAUGGGACACAGGUAGAGGCUUAGAGUGGAAUUUUUUGGUUGAGCUUGAGUUUCUGAGUUUAUGCACGAUCAUGAGGAAAAUGGGUCCCAGUGAAUCACUGCCACUCCGCAGGAGACAUGGAGCAUGGAGUGCCCCAGCCAUCCUGCCAAGGGAUGGACCAAACGUUUCUACACAGUGUUGGGUGUUUGCAGAAUCUGAUGAGGUCCAGGUGCAGAGCAAGAAUUGAAGAAUUCCACUGCUUCUUCCCCCAAACAGUGGUGGGAGAGGAGAGGUGCUCACCGCCAAGAAGAAAGUCUUCCUUACCUCUGACCAGCCUCUUCCUCUUGUUCUAUCAUCAGAGGAGAUGGAGAACAGCUGCUCUAUUUUAUGGCCUUGCAGUUAAUUUAAUUUAUAUCUGCUGUAUAUGUGAUUUCUUAAAACUUAAUAGAACAUUUCAGUUUGGCAUGUAGAAAGGGCUCUCUGCCUCACCCCAGUCAUUCCCAAUAGAUGUGUUUUAUCGUCUUAAUUUAUGUUUUUAUCUCUGUUGUUAUUGCUUGUUGUCUUUUUUUAAUAGUGUGAUUUUAUUUUUAUGACCACAUUAUUCCUAGGAAUUUUUUGGGCACGUGGCAUUCCAAAAUUUUACUAAUUUAAUGACCCAUCCCACAGACAGAUGAUCUCAAAAAGAUAAUGAAAGUUUAGAGUGCUGCGUGAUCUCAAAUUUAGCAAAGACUCAGGGGUGUUGUUAUGGAAGCUCCUUGGAGAUGGUGUGCAUGGAACUCGUGGACAAAGGAUCUACAAGCCUCUGC